UUACCAAGGCUUUGACUGGAAUGUCAUAGUUGAGAGAGAGAUGCAUAGAUUCAGACAUGACCAGACAGCUGUAAGGAACUGCCUGAAACUUGGCUCGGCUUCCUGGCCUCAGAGGCUUUGAAAGAGUCAAAUCUGAGAUUCCUUAUAAAAAGUUCCAGCAAAGCAGUCUUAAAAGAGCUUAUGUGGUCAAUCACCAUUCUUGCUACACUCAUGUAAAUAAUCAGGCCAAGUUUAAUACAAACAAAUUAGUUUUACUCUGAUUAUCUUUGGUAAAAAAUGGGGUAAUUGUAGAGAGAAAAAUUAUGUUUGCACCUUUGUAGAUAUUUAGAUUCUAACCCUGUUAAUUGUCUUUGAGGUUUUGUUAUAUACCUGUAAACUGAACUGGAUCCUAAAUUCUUCUAAUUUUCUCAAAUAUCUGGCUACCACUCUCCAACCGAAUGUUUCCUAUUGCCUCCCAUCCUUCUGAUUUGGAAUCACUGAGACCAAAGACUGUCCUUGAAUCUCCUUGGAAAGGAAUAUACUAGGUCUUCCUCCCGACCCAGAUGGCAGCCAAACCUCCAGGACUUAAACCUUGGCUACACAUCUCACAGUGGAAGAAAGCUCCUCCUGACCUCUGGUCCUUUACAAACACUGAAGACCUCUGAAUCAAACUGAUGAGCAGGAGAAGCAGCUGACAUUGACGUAGACUGCUUCCACCCAAGACACCAGAUCAAGAUUUCCCAUUUUAACUAAACAUGAAACACUGUCUUCCUCUCUUCUUUCCUUUACUCUGGCAUUGGCCUGGCAAGAUAAUGCCACCAUCAUAUCUCCCAAGCCAUUACUAAGGGAGAGCAACCUUUCAGACAGCUGGAUUCAUCAUCAAAAACUCCAAUCUGUUCAUGAUGCUGGAACCCAUGAACAAUGCCACCUGAGCAGUAAUGGUUUACGCCCCAACAGGAUUUAAUUUCAUCGGUGGUGGUGAUCAUUCUCCUUGGACCUAUAAAUGCUUAGAUGGCUAACACAUAACUGGGCAAUGCCCCUUAGGUUAUCUAACUGUGCCACUCAACUGUUCUCAAAUAGGCUAAGACACUUCAUUGGUCAACUCCCCUAAUCAUCCAAUUCGAAAAGACCUGCCAGGAGGCCUUCAUGAUUCAGGAUGUGCUUCUUUCGGCAGGUCCCUACUUCCUUUGUUAGGAGUGAGUACAAAUGAGGCUGUGAUCAGAAAUCCCUCCUUAACUCUUGAAAGUAUUGCAGAAUUCGCUGCUAAAGCAAUAGCUGCCCAAUGAAAAUCUCUAGACUCUCAGCUCAAAGUAGUUCUUGAUAAUAUGACAGCCCUUGAUCAUUUGUUAGCUGAGCAAGGAUGUGUCUGUGCUGUGGCCACCACCGCUGCACCUGGAUUAACACUUCUGGGGAAGCUGAAAUUUAGUUACAUAAAAUCACUGAGUGCGCCACUUGGCUUAAAAAGGUGACUCCUUCAACAGAGUAUUUCUUUCACUUAUUGGAUUUUGAUUGGUUUGGGUCUUGGGGACCAUGGCUCUGAAGUGCACUCCAGACAUGGGAAUUAUCCUACCAGUAACAGUCAUAGUAAUCUCCCUGAUGCACUGUAUUCUCUCAAAAGCUUUAAAUGCGUGUUUGCAGCUGCUAACCAUCAAGCAAAUGAAUGUGAAGUCGUGACCUGUGAAUACCACAGGAUUCAGCAGAAAACCUCAUGACCUGUGACUAUAACACGGAGAAACAGUAAAAGCUGCGAGACCAACAGAGCGGUAGCUGAGAGUGGCACUAAUGCCUUAAAUUUUGAUCACAUCUUUCAAGUUAUGCUAAGAGUCUCAUGCAAAGGGGGAGAACUGUUAAAAAAGAAAAAACAGGAACAAAAUGGUGUCACUUGUGCUAAGUCCCACAUCAAUAAAUCAAGACUUAAUUGCACUUUCAGUCUCUCACAGGAAUGUGACCUUUAACUAGUCAAUCUGGAAUUACCUGGUCGGCAUGAGUGAGUAAUCUGCCUCAUAGAUCCCCACACUACUCUUCCCCAAAGGAAGGUGAUCUUGCCCGAAUCUGCUCUUUGCUAGAAACUUCCUUUAUUCCGUCCCUUCUGCCCAUAACAGCCUUCCACUUUGCAUAGCUCCUUGGACCUCCCUUCUAUUUGCUAGCUGGGAUGCUGCUCAAUUCAUGAAUUGUUGGAUAGAGCCAAUUCGAUCUUCAAAUUUACUCAGUUGGCUUUUGCUUUAAACACCUUAGCAUCAUCAUCCUCUGAAAAUAAUGCUAAUUUUGUCUUUUUUCUAUUACUAUAUUUCUUUCUUUCUCUUAUCUGGGGGACAAAGAGAUUAAUUAGAACACUAAGGUUCCUUAGAGGAUGUAAGACUUCGGUGAAUCUUGCAGGAAUAGCAGCAAUUGGACUGGCUAAGAGGGGAGGAUGACAGAAAUAUAGCCACGCAUUGCUCAAUGAUGGGGAUACAUUCUGAGAAAUGUGUUAGGCAGUUUCAUCAUUGAGCGUACUUACACAAUUCAUCAUAGAGUGUACUCACACAAACCUAGAUGGUAUAGACUACUACACACCUAGGCUAUAUGGUACUAAUCUUACGGGACCACCCUCCUAUAUGCCCUCCGUCCUUGACCCAAACGCUGUUAUGCUGUGCAUGUCUCUAGAUAAAAUUGAGCUGUCCUACUCCCAACUAACGGAAGUCAGUUGAUAGAACCGCUGGUGGCACCUGGAACUCUACAUAUUACAUCACAGAAAAACUCAGACUAGUAGUGUCUUGGAACAUGUUUUGUUCAUAGUAAGUGUGAAAAUAAAGGAAAACCUCUUUUAAAAUGGAGUCAUGAAACCCUGAAGGGGGACCUCUCACGUACAUACCACUCACUGCUGCCUGCCUAACUGGCAGGAAGAUGGACGAUAAGAAUUAUUUUAACCAGGCCUAUUUGUAUAAAAUUCUCUCAGUCCCAACUUCUUAUCCGUGAUGAUAAGAAUGUAACUUUUCUGCUGGUGCAACGGAGGACAUCUUCACCUAGGAAUUUCAUCUCCUGCUUUUAAGAAAAGGAAGGAAGAUCCGUCCCUGCCGCAGCGACAACGCAUUGUCACAACCUUACACUCUUGUUCUUCUCCAAUGAACUUUUAUUCUAAAUAACCCUCCUUAAUUUCCUCCUAACACCUAAUAAAAACUAACUUUCCCCUUGUCUCUUCCAACUUGCCUAUGGUUCACCAUAGUUUGCACGUCCAGAAUUGCAAUUCCUCGGCUAUUCCCAAAUAAACUCAUUUUUUGAGCUUGCCCCCCAGACAGCUUCAUUUAGGUUGACAUAACAGCUAAAGAUAGUUUUAGUCUCUAUUAACAUCACAACCAAAUACUUAAAUCACAACCAAGUACUUAAAAGCCUGACAUAAUUGUAGACUCAUAAGUGAAAUGUCACAUUAUCAUUUUCAAUAAAUCAGCAUCAAUUUAACAUUUCGGAGAGCCCCCCAAAUUCUCAGCACUCAAAUCCAAGACAAGAAAGAUAAAAAACAGUACGACUGCAUUCUGGUUAUCCUAUGAAUUAAAGUGGAGUGAGUGUGAGUGAGUGUGUGUGUGUGUGUGUGUGUGUGUGUUUUAAAGCCUUUUGUUCACCAGCUUCUUUCCCUAUCUUACACUGUACUCCCUAAGGACUGUGUAUAUCAUUUAACUUUCUCCAUUGAACGAUAAACUUCAGAAGGUCUGGCCAUUUUGGUUCUACGGGGUUUCUAUCUCUUGCGCUUUCCCAGAUCAUACCAUGUAUUUAAUAUGCAUUGACCCACCUGUGCAGAAAAGGGACCGUCUAGUCUCAUGCUUAAAUCAGUACUAUGUCACUAUCCAUCGAUCAAUAAGUUGUGCAUUCUCGGUGACAACUGAAUGUUUUCUCUUUCAGCUGAAGUUUAAAGGAGGAGGGGAGUCGACUCCAAAACUGCACACUGGUGUAGCCCCAAACGGAAAUACAGCGAAAGCUCGAGCGACCUCUCCCAGCGCAAACGAGUCCACCCCAGCUUCAGGAAACGAAGGAGUAUGUGGGGUUGCGGAUGACUGGCUUUGGGGCUCAUUCUUUUCACUACAGCGCCCCAGGAGCGGAAGGCAAGCCCAGGCUCCAGGGACCACGCAGUCCCGCUGGGGCUGAGAGCGUCUCCCCCAGGGUGUCCCGGACGCCCGGCAGGAAAGAGCGCCGCCGGGCCGCCGACACCUGAGCGCGCGCCCGGUGGGGCGGGCCGGGAGCCCUCUCUCCCUUCCGCCUGCGACGCGCGUUGUCGGUCGAGCCGGUGUAUGUGCGGUAAUAACAUGUCUGCCCCGCUUCCCGCCAUCAUCCCCGCCGCCCGGAAGGCCACUGCUGCGGUGAUUUUCCUUCAUGGAUUGGGAGAUACAGGAAUUUCCUCUCAUCAUCGUGAAUUCGUCAUUUUUCAACUCCUGUUUCUGGAACGUAUUAAAAUUGCAAACGCCUCCUUGAGUUGCUGUGGGCAUUGGAUACCAGAGAUGGGUGGAAUGUUUGUAGAGAGUGUGCAACUGAGAGCUUUCCGGAGGAGUUAAAAUUUCAGGGCAAGUUGAGGAGAACAACUGGUUGAUUUUGAUAAGAGCAAUAAUCGCAAUGUGAGGUAUACGGCAUUCUGAAUGAAAGCUUAAUUAUGCCCUUAAGAGAAAAAAUCAGUUCAAGGGUCGGGGAGGCAACUCAAAGAUUUAUUUGGCAGUUUAUCAAACACAUUUUGUUGUGCUAACUUGAGAUGUACAAUUUAUCUUUCAGUCAGGCUUUUCCUAUAUUGUGAAGUGUUUGUUUUUAAUUUAAAUUGUGAUUAUCUGUUUGAAACUUAGGUAAAACUGUAACAAAAUUGCAGAAUUAGAGGAAAACUGAAGAUAAACAAAUUUUGAGUAGGUGGUCAAAUAAACUAUUAAAUAAACUAUUAAAUCUUCUUUAUAAGGGUGUGUUGGGCUAGAUUAAUUCUUCAAAGUGAUUCCUGAUAUUCUUUUUAUGCCCUUUAAGUAGAGGUACAUGACAACACGGAAAAGAUUGUAGGACUCUUUCUGGCAAUGAGGUAGUCCUAUGAAAAUGAUAGACUUAUAUUUUACUAUUUUAUUUUCCUGAACAGGUUUAGAGAAGCUCUCUUUUAUAAUCAAACCCUUCUUGAUACUGAGAGCCGGGGAGGAACUUGCUACCCUGUCACUUGCCCAAUAAAGAGAGCUUCUAGGCCUGAAGAAUCAGUCCAAGAAAAAAAACUUCAGUGUAGAAAGCUUCUCUGUGGGCCCCCAUUUUGACAUAUUCUGUAGACUGAAGUUAAGAGUGAAAAUGAACAAUGUGAGAUUAAAAAUACCAAGAGCAUCCAGGACAUCUUGACCGAGAAUUAAGUUUACAUACAAAAUUAGCUGGCCAGCCCCAUGGCCGAUUGGUUAAGUUCACGUGCUCCGCUCCGGUGACUCAGGGUUCACCGGUUCCGAUCCUGGGCACAGACCUGCACGCUGCUCAUCAAGCCAUUCUGUGGCAGCAUCCCACGUGGAAGAACUAGAAUGACUUACAACAAUUCAGGCGUGAGGAGGGGAGAAGUCCUAAGGCUCUGACAUUCAUACCGUGUCCCUGGUUCCAUUCUAAGCUAGGAAAUGCUAACUCUUAUGAGGUUCAUGUAGAAGAGUGAGCUUCGGGUCUUUUCUCUCAAAAUUCUAUGACGAGACUAACCAAAGGCGGGAAUUCUAAUGAGGGAACUUGGCUGAACUUUAGGCUUUGAACACUGAAUCUAGAAGGGUCGCUGAGAGUGUAAGUACAUGAAGUGGAUUAAGUGACGGAGUGAUGGCCAUAGUGAAGAUUAACUGGGCUCCGAAAUAGGAGAGAAAUCACUGAACAUGAGGCUCAACUUAUGUCCUAUCUACGGAAAGCCCAUUAAGGGAAGAUCAAUUUUAGAAAAUGUUAAAGAACAACCAGGUUUAAAUUUAGUACCAAUACUGAAUACUCAUUGAUUUUAAAGAAAAAUAUAUAUGCAUAUGCUAUAAUGCUAGUACCCCAUUUUAAAUAGAAAAAUUACCAUACCUGACUCACCUUCUCUUCACUGAAAGAGAAAUUACUAAUCUUAAAAAUGAAACUGUCUAAUUGCCAUUAUAUUUACAUUUCUCUACAUUUUAUCGGUGCCAAAACAUUUAAAAUAUAUCCUUCUAGAAAAUAAAUAUACUACAGAAGAUAAAACUAGUUGAAAACACAACCAUGUAACGUUUUAAGGCACUGCAUUCCAUUAGACAGAACCCAAAGUGAACUGAGUACAAAGACACAAUGUGAAGUUUAUACGUGAGACUCUUCCCUUCUCUCCGAUUUUGGACUCCAGUGUUAAUCUACAUGAAGUCAGCUCCCUAGCUACACAAAACAUAACUUCUCAGGAUUUAUUUGAAUUGUUAUAAGCAGGUAAUUAAGUAAACUAAAAGAAGUCUAACUGAAAAUUCAAUGUGCAAGUAAGCCGAGAUACACUUGAUAAGGAUUCCAUAUGCUAAUGGCCUUGGUGCCACGCCAGCUCUUUCCUCUGAAGUUCUCAGAUUUCAUCAAUCUUUGUGGACUGGCAGCUCAGCAGCUCCCUCACCUUCACUGAGCCACAAACACGUCUGGGCCAUCUGUGUCCUGAAGACAGGGGAGGACAUAUCAGCAUUUCCCCUUCCCCAGGAAUUCAGUUGACAUUCUUUAGUAAAAUACACAAAAGAACAGAUUGCGCUUCAUCUAUAGGGCAAUUUCACAUUUCGCAAAGCUGUAUGGUGCACAAAUCUCAUCCAUACACAUCUGAGGUCGUCAAUUCAUCAUCUCAUUAUAGCAAGAAAGAACAAACAUUCAACAAAUAUAUAUUGAGUGCCUAGCAUACGAAAGGAAGGACACUGAUAUGAACCCAUUCUUUGCCCUCAUAUUCUAUUAGAAGCCAUGUGACAUAUACGCAAAGGAACUCACACAAGGCCAAAUAGGAUCACGUGUGUGAUACACACCAAGAUCUAUAGCAGUAUAAUGAGCAAGAGAUCCUACUCCCAAGUAGAAUAGCUGGCUAAAAUAGUAGAAAUGUUAUUUCAGCUAAACCUUGAAGAAACUAAAACCGUUUUUGUCUUCUGUUGAAGAAGCAGAUAGGAAGAGUUAAACAUCUCAAGUAGAAGGAAGGGAUUAGGCAAAGCCAAAAACACACACAGUGAGUGUGCAAGGCCGUGAGCAGUCCAGACAGCGACAGCACUGGCUGUCUACUGCACAGCAACUUAAAACAAAGGCAAAUGACCAGCCCGGACCAGACCACAGAAGGCUCUGACUUCAAAGCUGGGAUUUAUCCAGUAGCGUCAGUGGGGAGUCACCAAAACACAGCACCGCUUAAGGAAGGUUAAUUUUUCAGUACACAGGACAUAGUAUAGGUCGAGAAAGCCUCGAGACAGAAAAAGUACAUUCUAAUAGUUUAACUGAUAAAGCCCAGAACUAGAAUGAUGUCAGUAAGCGGGAGUGCAAGGUGAUUUAAUAAGUAUCUUAAAGUGAUCUAGAAAAGUAUCUUAUAGUGAUCUACAGAAGAUGAAACAGAAAUGAGGAAAUUUAUGCAAAUAUAAAUUAAAAGGAAAAAUCUUCAUCAGAAAGCUUAUUCGAACAAGUACCUUGUAACCAACGGAGACAGGGGAUGGGGUCUUUCUUAAGAAGAAUUCAAAAAUCACCCAAUUGGGACGGACAGUUUAAGGGCUCAUUCUUCUGGAGACAGAUUUCGUUUACUCAUUCAACAAACACUUAUUGCAAGCCUACUGUGUACCAGAAAGCAUCGUUAAUUCCCUCAAGAACAAAGCAAACAACAGAACAAGCAGGGGAUUCACUGUUGGCCCUUAAGAAAGGCAUCAUCUCUGUCCUCUCUGAAAGAACUGGGACUUGUUCCACUGGAGAAAGAAAAUGAGCCUCGAAUUUCUUCCCAUAGUCAGGUUUCAAGACUCACAAGACAUAGCAGGUGUUCAGACUACAAUAAUGAGAUAUGUUAUUCCCAAAUCUUAAAGCACAUGCUGCCUAUGCAAAUUCAACAACAUCCAACUCCACAAAGAUUUUCAAAUAUGCAAUUCCACUUAGACUAUCAACUCUUAUCCAAAUUCUCAACUAGCUGUUCCUUGACUAAAAAGUUACCUGUAACUUGAUCUUCAGUGUUACCCAUAAAAAAUUAUUAGCCCAGCAGGAAACUCCCAAAAGAAAGUCCCCGCUCUGACUGAAACAGUCUCUGCUGUGGUUUAAAAAGAAGAAAAAAAAAACACACUUGCAAGAAAGAAAUCGAAACACUCCAAUACUCUUUAAGAACAAGAACAAAACAAAUCAAUAGCAGCCCUCUGAUGACACCUGGUGGCCGCUUCUCACAGGAAGUUUCUUUCAGCAUUUUAAAGAAAUUAUUCCAGGAAACGUUAACAGUUCUCAACCACUUCACAUGCUAUCUUGACUAUGGGCAGCACACAUGAAGUCUCUCCCCUCAUUUCCCUCCUUUUUGUUCCAGUUUUCACUUAUUUUGUUCCAGUCUUCACUUCUCUUUUCAUCUCUUCUCUCUUUUCUAACCAGUAGACAUUAAGGCAGCUUGAGCUUGCUUUCUGUCUCUUUCUCACACCCUCUCUCACUCACUCACACACACACACACACACACACACUCACACUCACAGACAUCCUCUCUCACUGGUACAAGGCCACCCACACAGGAAACCACCUUCUCCCUGCCUCCGUCCCACGCCAUCUCACCCUUCACCCCUCCUAGACUUACCCAAAUUAGUGGUGCAAGCAGUGUGCAGUUAGCACGUGUUGGCACCAGGCCCAUGGUAAAGUCACAACAGGGGAUAGUGUGCAGCAUGGCUGGCGUGCACACACGUGCAUUUAUAAAAGCUCCCAAUGCUCUUUUGCCCUUUCCCUUUGAGGAGGUCAAAAAAGGACGAACUCCAGAAGUUGUGGAGAUCCUACAGCACAGUCUCCUCCUGGAAGGGCAAGGUAGGACACGUAAGACUUCCUACAAGCCUAUUGCGAGCUGAGCAAGACAGGAAUAAACGGAAAUUAGCGGACUGCUCAGAUCUCUUUCUUAAUCUACCAUUUUCAAUUGGACCUUUUAUCGAAAGUAUAUGUCUUAUACGAUUACCUGAUUUAAUAAAGUACCACCAAGUCCAUAUAUAGUCUGUUCAGGAGAAAACUGUAGUAUUCGUUGUCAAUACAAAACUUCCUCACCCUCACCUAGCAGGAGGCAUUCAAACUUCGGAGAUGUAGGGGC
ensembl:lncRNA